UACGUAGGGCGCAAGCGUUAUCCGGAAUUAUUGGGCGUAAAGAGCUCGUAGGCGGUUUGUCGCGUCUGCCGUGAAAGUCCGGGGCUCAACUCCGGAUCUGCGGUGGGUACGGGCAGGCUAGAGUGAUGUAGGGGAGACUGGAAUCCCUGGUGUAGCGGUGAAAUGCGCAGAUAUCAGGAGGGACACCGAUGGCGAAGGCAGGUCUCUGGGCAUUAACUGACGCUGAGGUACGAAAGCAUGGGGAGCAAACAGG
rnacentral:misc_RNA from 1 species